GAUGAAGAACGCAGCGAAAUGCGAUACUUGGUGUGAAUUGCAGAAUCCCGUGAACCAUCGAGUCUUUGAACGCAAGUUGCGCCUCAAGCCAUUAGGUUGAGGGCACAUCUGCCUGGGCGUCACAUAUCGUUGCCUGAUGCCAGUUUCCUCGUGAUGGGUGACUGUGCAGGGCGAAUGAUGGCUUCCCGUGAGCAUUGUUGCCUCAUGGUUGGUUGAAAAUUGAGUCCUUGGUAGGGAGCGCCGUGAUAGAUGGUGGUUGAGUGACGAACGAGACCCAAUCAUGUGAGACCCCUACCGAAUUUGGCCUUCAUGACCCACAUGCGUCUUUGGAACGCUCAUGACGAGACCUCAGGUCAGGCGGGGCUACCCGCUGAGUUUAAGCAUAUCAAUAAGCGGAGGA
rnacentral:misc_RNA from 1 species